rnacentral:lncRNA from 1 species
GUCAGACCCGUUAUGUAACCAAAAAUUAUAGUUAUUUGAAUUACGAAUCUGAACCGAUCCGGAACCAACCCGAAUCCGAACUGAAAUUUUCAAAUAUCUAGUUGGUUUAAAUGUCUAGGACAUAAAAGGAAUCGAUCCAACUCGGCCCGAAGACCCAAAUAUUAAACUUUACUCUCUCUCAUUAUAUUUGGUGUGCAUUUUAUAAUAUUUUUAUUUGUUGAGUUGAUAAGACUUAAGAUUUAUUUAGCAUAUUUUUUUAAUUUAGUAUUGCAGUCCC